UAGAUACCCUGGUAGUCCAUGCCGUAAACGUUGGGCACUAGGUGUGGGGGACAUUCCACGUUCUCCGCGCCGUAGCUAACGCAUUAAGUGCCCCGCCUGGGGAGUACGGUCGCAAGGCUAAAACUCAAAGGAAUUGACGGGGGCCCGCACAAGCGGCGGAGCAUGCGGAUUAAUUCGAUGCAACGCGAAGAACCUUACCAAGGCUUGACAUACACUGGACCGUUCUGGAAACAGUUCUUCUCUUUGGAGC
rnacentral:rRNA from 1 species